UGGGAGGUUCACUAUAAUGCAUUCUUACAAAGAGAGGGACAGGGAGUCCGAAUGGUGGGCAUGGCUUGUUGCAGAUAAACAGAAACACUUGCAAACCUGCCCCAAAUCUGCUGCUCACAGGGCAGUUGCAAUUGUGAGCUCCUCAUAUCUCUGCCUCUCAUGCUCCAGACCUCCCAUUCUAGUCUUAGCAGCCCGUACCUU
rnacentral:lncRNA from 1 species